rnacentral:rRNA from 1 species
GCAUAUCAAUAAGCGGAGGAAAAGAAACUAACAAGGAUUCCCUUAGUAACGGCGAGUGAAGAGGGAAGAGCUCAAAUUUUAAAUCUAUUAUGUUUGUACAUGAUCGAGUUGUAAUUUGAAGAAGCGUUUUCUCGUACUUUAUGCAAUCAGUAUAAGUUCUCUUGGAACAGGACAUCAUAGAGGGUGAUAAUCCCGUCUGUUACUGGUUGUGAGGUUCGUUAUGAUACGCUUUCAAAGAGUCGAGUUGUUUGGGAUUGCAGCUCCAAAUGGGUGGUAAACAUCACCUAAGGCUAAAUAUUUGCGAGAGACCGAUAGCGAACAAGUACCGUGAGGGAAAGAUGAAAAGAACUUUGAAAAGAGAGUGAAACAGUACGUGAAAUUGUUGAAAGGGAAACGAUUAAAGUCAGUCGUACGGACGAGGAAUCAACCUUUCGAGCGUGGGUACGUGGGGUUCGGAGAGCCUUCGUCCUCGCGUCAUUCGUGUUCUUUGGGUGUACUUUCUCGUAACGUAGGUCAACAUCGGUUUCGAUCGUUAUAAAAUGAACGGAGGAAUGUGGCUUCGACCUCGGUUGAAGUGUUAUAGCCUUUGUUAGAUGUAACGGUUGGGAUCGAGGAUUGCAACGGAUGCUCGAAUGGGCUAUCCGCCUGAUCUCUGAUUCGACACUUUGGCGUUGAAAGCUUGCUUAUGAUGNUAAAGUGAUCGGUCAAAAGGUUAGAACGGAAUAAAUUCGUUAAGGANGUUGACGUA